CGGGGUGAGUAACGCGUGGGUAACCUGCCUCGUACAGGGGGAUAACAGUUAGAAAUGACUGCUAAUACCGCAUGAGCGCACAGUGCUGCAUGGCACAGUGUGAAAAACUCCGGUGGUAUGAGAUGGACCCGCGUCUGAUUAGGUAGUUGGUGGGGUAACGGCCUACCAAGCCGACGAUCAGUAGCCGACCUGAGAGGGUGACCGGCCACAUUGGGACUGAGACACGGCCCAA
rnacentral:rRNA from 1 species